AUUUUCCACACUCCUGACAUGUGAAUGUCUCCUCUCUUGUAUGUAGCUUCUGAUGCCUCAUAAGGUGCGACUUCUGAGCAAAACAUUUCCCACACUCCUGGCAUUUGUAUGGUUUGUCUCCUGUGUGGAAUCUCUGGUAGCAGGCAAGCUGUGAUUUCUCUCCUAUAUCAAAUUGCUCUUGGCUCAUAUUUGUGAAUGGGACAGAAAAAUAUUUUCCUGACACUUCAUAUCCCAAGUUUUUGUUUGUAGCAUGAAGUGUAACCAACAUCUUUUGAGGAAAACAUUCACAUUCACAUUCCAUUUCUUCCUGGGUUCCACUGUGUCUGGAAGGACUUGGUGUGUAUAUAAAACAUCUCCCACACUUCAUGCAAACCUUUAGUUUUUUCCAGUUAUCUUCAGGGGAGAAAAGCACAAAAGCAGAAAGAAUGAAACACAAACAUUGGAGAGCAAAAAGUAAUAAUAGUAGUAGUGAUAAUAAUUUAUAUCCUGCUUUAUUUCUUCCAAAGAAGAAUCAAAGCAGCUUAAAUACAUUUUGAAGAGUCACCAGCAUAAGCAGAGGAAACACUACCGUAUGUGCCUUCUUUAUAAAUACCAGUAAAAGAUGUACAUUAUAGUCUUUUAGGCUGCAAGUGCAGUGAUGCUAUUCAAUUUCUGUUUUUAAAUAGUGUUGGAAUAGCCUUGAAGAUGGGAGCCUGCGGUGGCGCACUGGGUUAAACCACUAAGCUGAUGAACUUGCUGACCAAAAGGUCGGCAGUUUGAAUCCAGGGAGCAGGGUGUUCCUGAGAGAAGCUUCCGAAGUUCUCCAGAAAAGAGACCCGAUGAUUGGGAAGGAUUUGAGCCCGCCAACUAGCUGGAGAAAAAUUGCAAGGCAAAGCCUCCGGAAACCCCAAGAUGCCCUUUCCUUACAAAGUGCUGAAAGCAUUGGACCCUGAGAUCUAUCGCAACAUCAAGUCUGAUGUUUGGUUGGAUUAAUAGGAAAGAACUUCAAAAAAUGGACUACUUGAUGUUUGCUGGGAGACAGUACUAUCUAGGGGACAAGUGUCAGGUUAGUCCUGUUAAGUUUGUUUAGUUAAUACUUUUGGAUGAACCGAUUUUUAACCAUAUGUUUUAUAUUUUUAUAUUGUUUUAAUUGUUAUAAUUGGAUUUUCAUUGCUAUGUUUUAAUUAUGUGUAGGCAUCAAAUUGUUGUCAAUUGUGUACGCUGCCCUGAGUCCCUUUGGGUGAGAAGGGCGGGAUAUAAAUGUGGGAAAUAAAUAAAUGAGAGUCCUAAAGAGGCAGGCUAAAACCCGGAAUCUCAGCCCAUGGCUGAGACCAGAUGAGAGACUCCCUCCUGCGCACACAGAAGACUGGACGACUUGGAAGGCGUUGAACAGGCUGAGCUCUGGCACCAAGAGAUGCAAAGCCAACCUUAAGAAAUAGAUCACCUAUCACAAUGCACCCUGAUCCCUGCCACAUGCACAAUGGAGGACCUUCUCACAGCCACACCAGAGGCACUCCAGGUGGCCAGAUUCUGGUCAAAGGACAUUUAGUAUAAUGCCAAGUUUUUUACUUUGUAUUUCUAAAUACAUAACAACUGGACCCUCGGUUUCCCUUCUGAUAUGAUUAAAAAAAACCUGAUGAGAUCACUUGGAGAUGAGACUUCUUCUGAAGCUGAGAGAGUGUGACUUCUCAUGGCUUUAUUUGAACCCUGAACUCUAGAGCCUUAGUCCAUUAAACUACGCUGGCUCUUUUUAAAAGGCAGAAUUGAUUUCUACACAGCAGAGUCAAAAUGAAAGGGAUUCGGCAUAAGAAAAAAAAAGUUUCUUUUUCUCAGGUUCAAAUUAAUUGUUCUUGUUCAUUCCAAGAUUCUGAUGUUUCCAACUGUUUAAUAAAACAGUUAAAUAUG